ACGGCCAUACCACAUUGAAAACACCGGUUCUCGUCCGAUCACUGAAGUUAAGCAGUGUCGGGCCCAGUCAGUACUUGGGAGGGUGCUGUAGGCUAUUACCUUUUUGGGGCUAGAAGACCUUAUCUGAUAGGCCAAUUAGCCCGGAAAACCCAAUACUACUACUAUAUCU